AUGGUGACUCCACGCAUCUCCUGCGCCCCACAACCCUCUCCUUCCUGGCACAGGAGGAGCAGGAGCAAGGAUGCCGAGGCGGUUCAGGUAUUCCAGUCGCGAGGAAGAGUAGGAAGAUCAGGCAGAGAGGGUUUUACAUACCUCUUCCACACUGACAAGUCUUUGCUUUUCAGGAUUGCCAUGGCGUGCUGCUGUUUGUUGUUUGAUCCAUCGCUCUGCGGCAGGCUCACUGAUGGACUUGAAGGAGCUUUGGAUGGUGGUCUUGGUAUUCCACACAGUGACAAGAGAUUUGCUGGCUUCAAGAAGGAUAAGAAGCACCCGGGCGCUGAGAUUCACUGCAAAUACAUCUAUGAAGGUCAUGUUGCUGACUACAUGAAGAUGAAGCUCCUUCCCAGAUGCAGGCUGAUGGAUAGCGUUGGCGAAGAACGGUGUAAUCUUCCCAAGUGGUGGCUGAAGUUGGCAUGUUUGCCCACUGGACACGGAGUUGCACAACCGUCCGCCACUGAUGCAUCAGUAGGCGCGACAGAACCUAAGAAGUACCAAUCUCACUUCAGUGAGUACAUCAGGAAGAAUAUUGCGGCCGAUGACAAGGAAGCACUGUACAAGAAGUGCAUGGUGAACUACACAGCAAAGUUCAGCUGCAGUUCCUCUAUUUUCUUCCUACUAAGAGCCCUGACGAUUUGUACUACUUGGCUGCAAAUUUGUGCCGUUUGCAUCACCAUACGGAUAGUGGUUUGUUCUUCCGGCAUUAUUCAUGGGCGUCCUUUUACCAGAGCUAUGGAUUUUAUUAUGCCCCAUUUCCUUCAGGUCUUUUAUCGCUCCAUCCUUGAUUUAUCUGAGUCCAUUGGGGUUGCUCAUGAAUUACAGAAUUUAGGCUUACAUGACUCAGUUGAACGCUUCAUGCACAAACCACAGGGGGCGUUGACCCACCGUGGAUGUUGGUCGCUGCAUGCCUGCGCUGUUCUUUGCUCUGCUGCGUGGAGCGCUUGUGUUGCCAGCCUACAAUUGGUGUCGGGACUUUCGUUCGGUUCUGCUUGGCGGCGCUCCCAAACAGCUCACCUCGUGGCAGCAAGGUACGCCUUCAACUCAUUCCUCCCCUAUCUCUUCCCCCAACGCAACUUUCUGCCGUUAGUUGCUCCAGGCAAAGGAAGCUUGAGCAGGAGUCAGUCAAAAUAUGCAAGUAUGUGCACCCAGUUUGUUCAAGCCCCUUGCUCAGAAGUUGGUCUGGAGAUGCAAGAAUACAGUGCCUUUGCUGCUUGGGGUUCUUGCUUAACUUCCGCCUGCUGUGGAUGCCGCUUUGUGCUCGAGUUCUUGCUUAACUUCCGCCUGCUGUGGAUGCCGCUUUGUGUUUGGGUCUUUCCUUCUUGCUGCUGGUGUCGCUGUCUUUUUGUUGGCCAGGGGCAUGAUAUCUGGGGCAGCAGCCAAUCCUCCACGGGUGAAGUGAAGAUGAUAUCCAUCUCAGAAAGGAGAAAGGGUCACUGCUGGUCAAAUGCUUUGUGCCUAGGACUGAUAUGA
rnacentral:rRNA from 1 species